rnacentral:rRNA from 1 species
AUUGAACGCUGGCGGCAGGCUUAACACAUGCAAGUCGAGCGGGGGAAGGUAGCUUGCUACCGGACCUAGCGGCGGACGGGUGAGUAAUGCUUAGGAAUCUGCCUAUUAGUGGGGGACAACAUCUCGAAAGGGAUGCUAAUACCGCAUACGUCCUACGGGAGAAAGCAGGGGAUCUUCGGACCUUGCGCUAAUAGAUGAGCCUAAGUCGGAUUAGCUAGUUGGUGGGGUAAAGGCCUACCAAGGCGACGAUCUGUAGCGGGUCUGAGAGGAUGAUCCGCCACACUGGGACUUAGACACGGCCCAGACUCCUACUGGAGGCAGCAGUGGGGAAUAUUGGACAAUGGGGGGAAUCCUGAUCCAGCCAUGCCGCGUGUGUGAAGAAGGCCUUAUGGUUGUAAAGCACUUUAAGCGAGGAGGAGGCUACUUUAGUUAAUACCUAGAGAUAGUGGACGUUACUCGCAGAAUAAGCACCGGCUAACUCUGUGCCAGCCGCCGCAGUAA